GUGAAGAGGCCACUGUGUGUGUUGAUGAACAUGGGCACCAGCCCGUCCUUCUUCCCAGACAGGGAGUGGAUGUGCCUCGUCACCUCCUCUGCAGCCUCCUGUGGAGCGCGAGGGACGGUAGGUAAACUGCAGGAAAAACCCUCAAGAGCCA